rnacentral:ncRNA from 1 species
AGAAAGUUUGGUUCCAGCUUCAAUUUUAAUUUUUAGGUUUAUGCCACAUGUAAGUUAUUUAAACACCCCAGCAAUAGAUUAUUAAAAUUUUAUUUUUAUAAUUUUUCUAUAAGAAAACACCUAAAACAGAAAUAAUAAUUGCGGACAGCAGUGCUUAAUAUUGUUUAAUUUAAAAAAUUAAGAAACAGAUAACCUAAAUUAAUGGGGGUUAAUAACGUGCCAGCAACCGCGGUUACACGUUAUCCAUAAAUAAAAAUACAAUCGGUAAAAGAAAGAAGAACUAUAAAAAUAUUUAAAAUAUCUUUUUAGCAGUAAUAAGCCAAAUUAAUUAAUAUAAAUAUAUUUAAUUCUUACUAAAAUAGAAAAGAAAUAAACUGGGAUUAGAUACCCCACUAUACUUUUCCUUAUAUACUAACACCAGAGAAUUACGAUUUUUAAUUAAAACUUAAAGAACUUGGCGAUUUUUUAUAUCUACUCGGAGGAGCUUGUUAUUAAAUUGAUUUUCCACAAGAAACCUUACCCCAUUUAGAAAUUUUCAGCUUGUAUACCAUCGUCGCCAGCUUAUUUUUAAGAAUAUAAGCUUUAAGAAUAAAUUUCUAAACGUCAGAUCAAGGUGCAGCCUAUAACGGGGGGAUCAAUGAGCUACUUUACCAAAAAAGUUAGAGGAAAAAAAUUUGAAAAAAUUAUUUAAAAAAGGAUUCGACAGUAAUUUUUUAUAUAAAAAUAAAAUGAAAAAGCCCUAAAAUGCGCACAUAUCGCCCGUCACUCUCGUCAAAUGAGGAGAAAAGUCGUAACAAAGUAGAUUUACCGGAAGGUGAAUCUGGUAAGCU